GAGGACAAAACUGUCUCUUACACUUAACCAAUGAAACUGAUCUUUCAGUACAAAAGCUGAAAUAAACCCAUAAGACGAGAAGACCCUGUGGAGCUUUUAGAUCAACAUCACCAUUAUGUUUUACCUGAUCUUCAGUUGGGGCAACUUCGGAGCAUAAUAAACCCUCCGACAAACUAAUCGUUAAUAAGAUUAAACAAAUCAAAUUUAAACUUACCUGACCCAGUAAUAUUUUAAUUAUCUGAUCAACGGACCAAGUUACCCCAGGGAUAACAGCGCUAUCCCCCUUUAGAGUCCUUAUCGACAGGGGGGUUUACGACCUCGAUGUUGGAUCAGGACACCCCGAUAGUGCAGCAGCUAUCAAAGGUUCGUUUGUUCAACGAUUAAUAGUCCUACGUGAUCUGAGUUCAGACCGG
rnacentral:rRNA from 1 species